rnacentral:rRNA from 1 species
CGAACGACUCUCGGCAACGGAUAUCUCGGCUCUCGCAUCGAUGAAGAACGUAGCGAAAUGCGAUACCUGGUGUGAAUUGCAGAAUCCCGCGAACCAUCGAGUCUUUGAAGGCAAGUUGCGCCCGAGGCCAUCCGGUCGAGGGCACGCCUGCCUGGGCGUCACGC